rnacentral:rRNA from 1 species
UACAGAGGUCUCAAGCGUUGUUCGGAAUUACUGGGCGUAAAGCGCGUGUAGGCGGUCUGGCAAGUCAGAUGUGAAAGCCCCGGGCUCAACUUGGGAACUGCAUUUGAUACUGCCAAGCUAGAGUACAGAAGAGGUGACUGGAAUUCCCAGUGUAGCGGUGAAAUGCGUAGAUAUUGGGAGGAACACCAGAUGCGAAGGCGGGUCACUGGGCUGAUACUGACGCUAAAGCGCGAAAGCCAGGGGAGCGAACGGG